rnacentral:tRNA from 1 species
GCCUGAUUAGCAUAGUGGCUAAUGCGUUGCACUUGUAUCUAUGGCCCCUCCCCCUCUCUCGGAUGGGGCCGCGACAGACAGACAUGCAAAGAUCACAGGUUCGAUUCCUGUAUUAGGCA